UAUUGAUUGAUCUGAAACAGCACAAAGUAAAGGAAUCAAGAUUCUCCCAGCUGUUCACAAUGGAAAAACUCUGGCACUUUGGUACAUGUUCUCCAUCGUUGCUGCAGCAGAUGAUUGGAAAAUUCCAUCUUGGAUAUUCAAACAUUAAGUGUUCUUUAGCCAAGUAGCACCUGUUUAAGUUACUGAUGCAAAACAGGUUCCUCUACAAAUCCUGUGUUGUGCAAAUUGUUCAUUUGUCUUUUGUUUUGUUUUCUGCAUGACAAAUUUGUUGUGAAAACAUACCAAAUGAGAACAGAUUUCAAAAUGCCAAAUAUGCCAGAAUGUCUCAUUUCCAAGUUUUACAUGUCAAACUCCAAUUCCCAAAGUUUCAUCAUCAUGUUUGAUGUGACACAAGUCUUCAAACAGCUCAAGAGUGAACAUCCUCAGCAAUCUCAACAUUAUUUUAUACCAGUCAUUUAUUGAUUGCCACUUAGAGGACUGAAUAAGAUUUAAACACAGGGCAAGAACAAUGGAAUAAUUUUAGUAUAGAUUAAACAGCUAUUUUCUCAAGGAGAAGAUUAUUAAAUGUUUUAUUUGUGAUACAUGA